rnacentral:tmRNA from 2 species
GGGGAUGUUUGGUUUCGACAAGUUGUACGUUAAAAACAGGCAAGCCGAGCGAAGAUAUUAUCUCGUUAAACUAUUAUCAAAGUUAUAAGUGCAAACUUCAUAACAAAGGCAAAAACUGUAAUGGCGCAAGCUUUUACAACCAAUUUUGCUUAUGCCGCGGCGUAAAUCCUUCGAGUAGCCGCAGCCAUCGGACCUUCGACUCCCGAUAGAAGAAUUCCGGUGUCAUACAUUGGGAUAGCCUAUAUUGCAUUCUCUCGGCAAUAUGCGUAAAAUUAACAUAGAGAUAGGUUGAAGUAAUUUUUCUUAUUUUUAUCUUUAACCGAACUUACCAAAUAAGAUAAGCUUGUAGAUUGUUUUUGAUGAAUAAUUUUGGACAUGGGUUCAAUUCCCAUCAUCUCCACAA